UGGGGAAUCAUGGUCAAUGGGCGAAAGCCUGAACCUGCGACGCCGCGUGAGUGAUGAAGGCCUUCGGGUUGUAAAGCUCUGUCCUCAAGGAAGAUAAUGACGGUACUUGAGGAGGAAGCCCCGGCUAACUACGUGCCAGCAGCCGCGGUAAUACGUAGGGGGCUAGCGUUAUCCGGAAUUACUGGGCGUAAAGGGUGCGUAGGUGGUUUCUUAAGUCAGAGGUGAAAGGCUACGGCUCAACCGUAGUAAGCCUUUGAAACUGGGAAGCUUGAGUGCAGGAGAGGAGAGUGGAAUUCCUAGUGUAGCGGUGAAAUGCGUAGAUAUUAGGAGGAACACCAGUUGCGAAGGCGGCUCUCUGGACUGUAACUGACACUGAGGCACGAAAGCGUGGGGAGCAAACA
rnacentral:rRNA from 1 species